rnacentral:rRNA from 1 species
UACGUAGGCAGCAAGCGUUGUUCGGAAUUACUGGGCGUAAAGAGUGUGUAGGCGGUGCUCCAAGUCUGGUGUGAAAUCUCCCGGCUUAACUGGGAGGGUGCAUUAGAAACUGGAAUGCUAGAGGAUGGGAGAGGUAAGCGGAAUUCCUGGUGUAGCGGUGAAAUGCGUAGAUAUCAGGAGGAACACCUGUGGUGUAGACAGCUUUACUGGACCAUUUCUGACGCUGAGACACGAAAGCGUGGGUAGCAAACAGG